rnacentral:rRNA from 1 species
AUUUACCGGGGCUAAGCAUGUUACCGAAAUUGUGGAUUCGACCGUAAGGUCGAGUGAUAGGAGAGCGUUCUAAGGGCAACGAAGCAAGAUCGCAAGGACUUGUGGAGCGCUUAGAAGUGAGAAUGCCGGUAUGAGUAGCGAAAGAUCAGUGAGAAUCUGAUCCACCGAAUGACUAAGGUUUCCUGGGGAAGGCUCGUCCUCCCAGGGUUAGUCGGGACCUAAGCCGAGGCCGUAAGGCGUAGGCGAUGGAUAACAGGUUGAUAUUCCUGUACUAGUUAAUCAUGUUUGAACGAUGGAGGGACG